UCACUCCAUGUCUCAUCACCGUCAAAAACAAAAAUUCGCACUCACAGUACUCGCUGGCUCUCCCCCCGCCCCCACCCACCGCCGUCGACCGGACCCCCGCUCUCCUGCCUCGCCGCCGAUGGCCUGGACGGCAACCUCCUCCAUCCUCUUCGUCCAGGCGACCUGAAGCCAACAGAAGGCCAGGGCACCCAGCGGGAGGGGCAAAAGGAGGUGGAUGGGCGCUCCCCGUUUCCACUGGAUCCGCAGCCGCGGCCACCCGCUCUCCUGCCUCGCCGCCGAUGGCCUGGACGGCAACCUCCUCCGUCCUCUUCGUCCAGGCGACCAGAAGCCAAUGGAAGGCCAGGGCACCCAGCGGGAGGGGCAAAAGGAGGUGGAUGGGCGCUCCCCGUCUCCACUGGAUCCGCAGCCGCGGCCACCCGCCUUCGCCACCGGGGCCUCCCCGUCCCUCUAUUAACCAUGGGUCCUCUUCACUCGUCGGAAUCCGAGCGGGGGAUGAGGGUGCUGGAGGUCGACGUGGGGGCGCUGAAUCGGGGGCUCGAGAAGGCCAUCGCCGGCGCCAGGGAUGGCAUUGAUGUUUGUAGAUAGUUUGUCAUUCCUUGACAACUUUGAGUGGACUACAGGAUACACCAAUAGAGGUUUUAUAGUGUUCAUGAAUUGGCUUUUGUGACAUCCCAAAGUAUCAUCCCUGUGGUUAUCACGCUUAUCAUUGAAAACAAAGCUGGCAUGAACUGAGCCACCCCUCAACAGGUUGGAAAGAGUACUAAUGGCAGUUUGAAACAAACAAGAUGUGCGGCUGCCAUUUGUAGUUAAGGAACUACAUGGUCGUCUAAAAUCCCUCGCAUGAGCGCCGUGGUAGGCAUUACAGAAAGGAGGUGCAAAUGUCCAGCGCCAUCGCAUCAGCGCCUUACUUGGCACUGCAACAAGGAGGCGAGGAUGUCCAGUGGCCGGCGACAUGUCGGAAGGCCCAUGGAAGCAUCAGCCAGUAUUGUCUGGUGCCCAAUGAUACACAGGUAAACAUGAUGGAUGAGUAGUAUGCUACUGAUGAAGAUGAUUAAGUACGAUGUCAUCUACUCUCAUUUGAUAAUUCCUGGGAACAACAAAAAUAAAACUGAAACCAGGAAAAGGGUGUUGGAUAAUUACUGUGGAGAAGUGCAAUCAUUGGGGAGUUUUUAGGACCAAGAAACUCACAUUUGUCAAUUCGGAGUAAGUAGCCUUUUUGCCGGUUAUAUUUUCUAGCUCGUUGGUCUCAGAUUUGGUCAGCCACUUUUCAAUCUGCCUAUUAUCUGUGUCCUCACCCUUUGAUCCCCUUUCGAUGUUUUCCUGAAAACCAAGCAUAUAUCACUUUUAAUUACAAAGCCUUGCAAAUUAUUUAAUUACCAAACCUUGAAAACUAUGAAGUUACAAAGAUUAGUAUCAUUACCGCAUUGAUAGCAUGGACAAUAGCACCGAAUCUGGGUGGAGAUUGAUCCACAGAGGGCAUCGGGGAUGGCGGCCCAGACAUUGAUAAUGAUGCAACACAGCCAGAUUCGUUGGGCGAGUGGACAAAGUUGAGGUGGAGGAGGCCGGCGAGGUGGAGGAGAGUUUGGAUGGGGCGAUUGUGGAAGGGAACAGUAUCGUGGUGACUGCUUCUGGCGGUUGCUGUAGAGUUGUAGGUGCCCACGUUCGCUGGAGUCCGGAGUCCCUUAUCGAUCGAUCAAGUCUGGCGCGGUGCGAGGUGGAGAUCGAUCAAGUCUGGCGCGGUGCGAGGUGGAGGAGUGUGGGGAUGCGGCCUGCUACAGCGAGAUCAUGAGGCAAUAUUUUCCUCGUAGGGAAUCUACCUCUGUAACAAACUAUCCGUAUAUGUAGCAGUACACUAUUUUUAUUGAUCUAUCCGGCUGAUUUAUCUCAGGCCCACGUUUUUUUGCCUUUUCUUAUACCCCACGUACAUAAUAGUUGUAGACAUUGCCUUUUCUUAUAGCCCAUCUCCACAAAUGCCUUUAUAAUAUAUUAAAUGAUUAAGUUGGGCCUUCUACUUGCAUAUUUGGAGGAGGAGUAGGCCGUUAUGUCUGAUCUGUCAGCUUCCCACGCAUCUGGAGGGCUCCUUGCGAAAUAUAUUGCGUCUUCUACCAGGAAGGAGAUCACAUGCAUUAUAGUAUCCUGAAGAUACCAUACCUUUGUUUCUUGAUGGGCGAGUUGUAUUCACAAAGCAAGCAGAACCUGUAAUGCCACUCAAGGACCCAAAUCUGAUAUGGCUAUCAUUGCACGCAAAGGUUAUAUUUUGGUACAGGAAAUUCGUGAAAAGUAGAUCCAACGUUUGCGGGAGGUUGUUGUUUAUAGUCUUGGAAAUAUAUUGGGUGUUGACAAAACGACAGAAAGGUAAAAUAUUGCCACAAUUUCUAUAUCUUGAAAGGUGUUAUCUCUUGUACCACAUGUUAUUUUACUGUUGUAUGCUCCUAGUUUUCUGUCUGUUCAUUACAUGACAUUAGUGUGAUCUGCACUGCGGAUAUAUAAAUAUGCUUUUCAAUUUGCAUAACUACAAGCCAAAACAGAUGAAAAGG